UGGCGCUUAAGCAGUCUAGGCAACGAACCACUGUUGCUUGCCUCUGGCACUGCUGUGUCUGCAACAGUUUUUGGCGUCCCUGGGUGGGCUGAGGCGAAAAUUAGCCUUGCCUGGAUCCCUCCUGGAGGUCAACGGAUCGCGGUGACGACCGACGCCCAGUGCACACCGGUGACUUCACCGGGGGCCUCAGCGGAGACGCGGUGUGAGCGACCCCAGAGGGCACAACGGUGCAACGCGCUCAAAUAGUGGAGAAGCAGUUGUGGGCGACGGUGUGGAACUGGUCCCAGGCGACGGUGAGGAACCGGUCCCUUGGAUAAGAUAAUCAGAGAAAACUGAUGCCAGCUGAACAGCAUUCAACAUACCAUGCAUUUACUGGCACAAUAGAAACUAUGUUUUGUGUUCUAUGUUCUGUCUUGUGGUGUUUGUCUUGUGGCCGGAAUUUUUGUGUUUAAUAUUUUUAUAAAAUAGUCUAGUUUAAAAUCAAACAAAAAGGUUAAAUUAAAAUGCAGAUACUUGUUUUGUUCAACUUGGAAUACAAAGUGUUUGGGUAAAUCAGAAGAAUGUAAUAUACUAAAGUCUAAUGCAUUUCCUCAAGGAAAAGAAACUUCAUUGGUCAAACUGUUAAUUGCAAAAAUUGUUGUUAAAAUUUGCAUACCAACAGUCUUUGAAAGCAAGGACAUGAAAAGUUAACCCACUCCCCAUAUUGUAUAUGGGAUCUUUCUGGCUACCUCAAAUUUCUAGCCAGAGGGCUGGGGAUGGUGGAAAGCUAUUGGACUAGAGGUUAAAUUUAAUGAACUCCUCAAAGCGAGUGUGCUUGUCGUGGCUUGUUGCUCCAAAGCUCUGUAAUAAGGUUAUUUUAGUAAAAGGGUGUGUGUGGCAUAUAUUAAAUAAUAAGACUAAUUACUGUAUAAUGACAAUGUUUAUGUCUUCAUUGUUGGGAAAAAGGUGUAUAAGUAAAAAGUGGAAGUUUCCUUUGCAGGUUAAAAGAAGACAAGAAAGGAAGAAGAACAAAGCACAGAAUGAGUUAACGGAAAAAAAAAAAGAAAAAAAGAAUUAGCUAGCAAGCUCAGGCUAUAGAUAAGACACUGACUCCAUUCAAAGGACACUGCUCACAGUUAAGACUUGGCUAACAACUAGGAAAAGGGGGGCUUGAAUUUGCCCACACAGCUAUGAGAUCUGAAAAACACUGCCAGGCACUAAUGAAAUGUGUAAGUUUCUUUUCUCACAGGUAAAGAAGAGCUACCCAAAGACCCUAGCAGCCCUGCCACUCCUUGGAACCAGGAGACGGGAUUGAUGUAAAGGUCCACCGACGAAAGACUGCCUUGGCUCCACCCUGGAAAGGCCCUUAAGUCCCGGUGACUACCAACAUUGCUGUAAAAUGUCAAAGACUGACUGCUUGGACCCAAGAUUCUCACUGCAAAAAGACCCCUUCACAUCGGGAGAAUUCUCCUACUGAUGAUUAGCUUAUUUCACCUUCUAGCUCCACUGUGCCUUUUGGACAGCAGGGAAAACGUACAAGGUGACGUGCUAGUAACCUCUCCCUUAUCCACUGACAGAUCUACUGUGCCUUUGAAUUUUUCUAGAAGAAUCAAAACCAUUACAGGGUUAUGUGCUAGUAACCUCUGCCCUGUAGGAUGCUGCAUCACGACUGUUUUGGGAAAGAAGAAGGAACACUCGCUCCACUGAAAUUGCCAAAGUCCAGGAAUUCCUGACUAGAAAGGACAUUAAGAACUGACCCUGGUGAAGAAACAAAGAAUUAUACACUGGUGGGAGGACAUUUGUGGGACCCAUGUUUGGGAAUGUGGUAUUGAAUGGAUUUUGGGAUUUAUUCUACAGGCUGCGCCCUGUGUUUUGGAUAAAUCCCUCAGCAUAUA